CAAGUACUCCCUCCGUCCAACAAAAGAUGUCUCAAGUUUGUCAAAAUUUGGAUGUAUCUAGACAUGACUUAGUGUAUAGAUGCAUUCAAAUUUAGUCAAAGUUGAGACAUCCUUUGUUGGACGGAGGAAGUAGUAU
rnacentral:pre_miRNA from 1 species